rnacentral:rRNA from 1 species
GUGAAAGACGGUGGCUCAACCAUCGUUAGCCAUUGAAACUGGUAGUCUUGAGUGCAGACAGGGAUGCUGGAACUCGUGGUGUAGCGGUGAAAUGCUUAGAUAUGACGAAGAACUCCGAUUGCGAAGGCAGCUUGCGGGAGCACAACUGACGCUGAAGCUCGAAAGUGCGGGUAUCGAACAGGAUUAGAUACCCUGGUAGUCCGCACGGUAAACGAUGGAUGCCCGUUGUCAGGCUGUUUGAGCCUGGUGACCAAGCGAAAGCAUUAAGCAUCCCACCUGGGGAGUACGCCGGCAACGGUGAAACUCAAAGGAAUUGACGGGGGCCCGCACAAGCGGAGGAACAUGUGGUUUAAUUCGAUGAUACGCGAGGAACCUUACCCGGGCUUGAAUUGCAGACGAACGAUUCAGAGAUGAUGAGGCCCUUCGGGGCGUCUGUGAAGGUGCUGCAUGGUUGUCGUCAGCUCGUGUCGUGA